AUGGUGACUACUACUUCACAAAGUAGUAGAAGGAAUCUAUGGCGACUACUACUUCAAAGGGUACCAGAAGGAAUCUAUGGCGACUACUAUUGCAAAAGGUACCAGAAGGAAUCUAUGGGGACUACUACUUCAAAGGAUGCAGUGAAGGCGAUAAGAAAACCAGAGGAUGAUCUUCAGAAGCGUCAAAGCAUAAGGUUAGUGAAAGUCACUUGGCCACGAAGAGUUUCAAGAUCUGUAUGGAAGGACCAAGGACACGGCUUGAAGAAAGGGUUGAUUUUUGGUUGA